CACCUGAAACAUUUUUAUUUUAUCUUCUUACAUUUUAAACAAAAAGUGUUUUAAAUUGAGAUAUAAUUGAGUAAUUGCAUAAGUUUAGAGUAUACAAUGUGUUGCAUUGAUACAUUUAUAUACUGUAUACAUUGCAUAUUGUGUAUAUAUAUAAACACACUGCUACAUGUCUAUUACAUAUAAUUGUAUAUACACUGAUGUUACUUUAGCUAACAUGUUUAUAAUUAUUUCUGUUCAACAUAUUCCCAUUGGGGAGGAAAAAUCUCUUUCAUUACCCAUCUUAGGUUCUCUGCUUGGGGCCCUAUAAACUGGACUGAUGAAAUACAGAUUAACAAGAGCAAAGCAAACAGAAGUUUAUUAACCUACAUGUGUAACACAUGGGAGUACUCAGAGAUGAGAAACUCAAAGGCUUGGUUAGAACUUGAGUUUAUAUUGAGUCUUAGCAAAGGAGCAAGAAAUUUUUGGAGGUGUGAUGAGGUGAAGGAAAAAGACCUUAAGUAUCUUUUCUUUUCUUUUUUUUUUUUUUCCUUUUCUAGGGCCGCUUCCCGCGGCAUAUGGAGGUUCCCAGGCUAGGAGUUGAAUUUGAGCUACAGCUGCCAGCUCCAGCCCCAGCCAUAGCAGCUCAGGAUCCAAUCCAAGUCUGCAAGCUACACCACAGCUCACAGCAACGCCAGAUUCCCUGACCCACUUUAGCGAGGCUAGGAAUGGAACCUGCAUCCUCAUGGACACUAAUCAGAUUUGUUUCCACUGCACCACAGUGGGAACUCCUAGUUUUACUGCCUUUUGACUUAAAAACAUACUUGUAUUUCAUUGCUGUGCUUUGUUCAGCUUUCUUUGGUUUCUCGUCUUUUUUUUUUUUUAAUGGUUGCUCCUGCGGCAAUUGGAAGUUCCUAGGCCAGGGAUUAAAUGCAAGCCUCAGCUGUGACCUAUGCUGCAGCUGCAGCAAUGCUGGAGCCUUUAAACCACAGCAGGAAUUCCCUUCCCUUCUCUUCUCUUAUUCCCUUCUUCCUCUUCCCCUUCUUCUUCUUCUCCUCCUCCUCCUUCUCUCUCUCGUGGGCUUUUCAUUUGUUGCAAACCCUGAGCCCCAAACCAGUUGGUAAUUUGUGAUAGGGCAAUCCUGACCCCAACCAUUGCUGGCAAAUACUGCAAAGUCAGGAAAUGGGGUGGAUGGGAUUGUUAUUGUGAUGGUUAAUCUUUUGUGUCAACUUGGCUGAGCCAUGGUGCCUGGGUAUUUGGUCAAACAGUAAUUUGAAGCUUCUGUGAAGGGUGUCUCUUAGAUGAAAUUAACAUUUAAAUCAGUAGACUUUGUAAAGUCUAAGUAAAGCAGAUUGCCCUCCACUGAAGUGCAUGGACCUCAUCCAGUCAGUUGAAGGCAGUCAUAGAACAAAGACUGACCCUCCCAAAGCAAGAAGAAAUUCUGCCAGCAUUCUGCUUUUGGACUCAGAUUGCAGCUCUUCCCUAAUCUGCAGCCUGCCAGCCUAUUCCAUCAGAUUUUGGACUCACCAAGCUUACACAACUAUGUGAGUCAAGUCUUUAAAUGAAAUAUCUCUCUUUCUCUCUCUUUCCCCCCCCCCCCCCCCCGCUUUUUAGGUCCACACCUGUGCCAUAUGGAGGUUCGCAGGCUAGGGGUCAAAUCGGAGCUGCAGCUGCUGGACUACACCACAGCCACAGCAAUGCAGGAUCUGAGUCAUGUCUGCAACCUACACUGCAACCUACACUAUAACUCCUUGCAAUGCUGCAUCCUUAACCAACUGGACAAGGCCAGGGAUCAAACCCACAUCCUCAUGGAUACUAGUUGGGUUCUUUACUGAUGAGCCACAAUGGGAACUCCUAAUUUCAAUAUUUCUUAAAUGUUCUUUUUAAUUUCUUAUAAUUGUUUCUUUAAGCUUUAUACUCCAAGUUGGAGCUUUCCUUGAAUGUCUAUUAAGCCUUGGUUGCCUGUUCUUAAGAGUCUACAGGGCUACUGGAAGCUCUGAGCUAGUGAAGGGGGGAACUUCGAGUUUCCCUGUAUGUGCUAUUAGUGAUCUGUGUAUUGGGGAAUGUCUGACAUCAUUAGCUUUGGGUGAAAUUUUCUCUUGACUUGGACAAGUCCAGAGUAGAGAUUGCUAAUCCCUCUUUGAAGAAUAAAGGUCUGACUGCUGCUGUUUGGGGAACUAAAUGAGGGUAUGGGAUUCUGGGAGGCAUGGAAUCUCAGGAUUUAGCAUUUAGUAUGCAUGGCCAAUGAUCCCCAUUUUUUCUACAAUACCUAAGACCUCACCUGUGUCUGGUGUCUUGCUCAGAGAUGCCCUAUUUUACCUCUUGCAGAAAAUAGCCUUCAAAUGAGGUAAGAGGCAGUCAUCCUGGGCAAGGAGAGUGGGGACAGUACCUAGGGAUUUAACUUUUUCUUAAAUGGCUUUCAUCUCAUCCUUGUUUUAGCAACCUGUCCUCCUUUGCCGGAUCACCCUUAGCUCCAGAGGCACUCAUGUUAUCAGUUCCUGAGCCUCUUAAGGGAAAAGCAGGUUGGUUCUUGGCUUUCUUUCCACUUUCUAGCUUAAGGUUGAGCUAUCUGGAGUCAGUUUCUAAAGUGUUUUUGCUACCAUCUUCUAUUCUCCCUGUUCUUAAGCGCUUAUAUAUCCAUUUAAAUCCCUGUACUGUGGUUUUCCUAAAGCUUGGGGAGGAAGCAAAAUUAGAUGCAUAUGUUCAAUCAGCCAUCUUAACCCUGAGCCACAAGUUUUAAAAUGUUAAUGUAGUCAAAUAUAUUUAUCUUUGCUUCUGUAGUUUGUGCUAUUUGUGUCUUGCCUACAUGUGUUGCAUCAUGUAGGCAUGAAUAAUUUUUUAACUCAGUUUCCAGCAUCUCUCCCCUUCCUGGAGCACAGGGGAUGAGACUGAAAGUUCCAAGCUUCUAAUCAUGGCUUGAUCUCUCUGGUGGCCAGUCCCCCCAUCCAGAAACCCACAAGAGUCACCUCAUUAGAACAAAAGACACUGCCAUGCCCAGGAAAUUCCAAGGUAUAUAAGAACUCUGUGUCAGGAACUGGGCUCAAAGACUAAACUUCAGAAUAAAAGGUGCUCCUAGAGGAGUUCCUAUGGUGGCUCAAUGGGUUAAGAACCUGACAUAGUGUCUGUGAGUAAACAGCCUUGCUCAAUGGGUUACGGAUCUGGUGUUGCUGCAAGCUGCAGCACAGGUCACAGA
rnacentral:lncRNA from 1 species